rnacentral:tRNA from 1 species
UAGCCUAGUGGUUAAGGCUAUGGAUCGCCAAUCCGGAAACGACGGGUUCGAUUCCCGU